rnacentral:rRNA from 1 species
CCGUGAAACGCCUCAGCGCCGAUGGUACUGCGUCUUAAGACGUGGGAGAGUAGGUCGCCGCCAGGU